GAGUGGCGAACUGGUGAGUAACACGUGGGAAACCUGCCCAGAAGCGGGGGAUAACACCUGGAAACAGAUGCUAAUACCGCAUAACAACUUGGACCGCAUGGUCCGAGUUUGAAAGAUGGCUUCGGCUAUCACUUUUGGAUGGUCCCGCGGCGUAUUAGCUAGAUGGUGGGGUAACGGCUCACCAUGGCAAUGAUACGUAGCCGACCUGAGAGGGUAAUCGGCCACAUUGGGACUGAGACACGGCCCAAACUCCUACGGGAGGCAGCAGUAGGGAAUCUUCCACAAUGGACGAAAGUCUGAUGGAGCAACGCCGCGUGAGUGAAGAAGGGUUUCGGCUCGUAAAACUCUGUUGUUAAAGAAGAACAUAUCUGAGAGUAACUGUUCAGGUAUUGACGGUAUUUAACCAGAAAGCCACGGCUAACUACGUGCCAGCAGCCGCGGUAAUACGUAGGUGGCAAGCGUUGUCCGGAUUUAUUGGGCGUAAAGCGAGCGCAGGCGGUUUUUUAAGUCUGAUGUGAAAGCCUUCGGCUCAACCGAAGAAGUGCAUCGGAAACUGGGAAACUUGAGUGCAGAAGAGGACAGUGGAACUCCAUGUGUAGCGGUGAAAUGCGUAGAUAUAUGGAAGAACACCAGUGGCGAAGGCGGCUGUCUGGUCUGUAACUGACGCUGAGGCUCGAAAGUAUGGGUAGCAAACAGGAUUAGAUACCCUGGUAGUCCAUACCGUAAACGAUGAAUGCUAAGUGUUGGAGGGUUUCCGCCCUUCAGUGCUGCAGCUAACGCAUUAAGCAUUCCGCCUGGGGAGUACGGCCGCAAGGCUGAAACUCAAAGGAAUUGACGGGGGCCCGCACAAGCGGUGGAGCAUGUGGUUUAAUUCGAAGCUACGCGAAGAACCUUACCAGGUCUUGACAUACUAUGCAAAUCUAAGAGAUUAGACGUUCCCUUCGGGGACAUGGAUACAGGUGGUGCAUGGUUGUCGUCAGCUCGUGUCGUGAGAUGUUGGGUUAAGUCCCGCAACGAGCGCAACCCUUAUUAUCAGUUGCCAGCAUUAAGUUGGGCACUCUGGUGAGACUGCCGGUGACAAACCGGAGGAAGGUGGGGAUGACGUCAAAUCAUCAUGCCCCUUAUGACCUGGGCUACACACGUGCUACAAUGGAUGGUACAACGAGUUGCGAACUCGCGAGAGUAAGCUAAUCUCUUAAAGCCAUUCUCAGUUCGGAUUGUAGGCUGCAACUCGCCUACAUGAAGUCGGAAUCGCUAGUAAUCGCGGAUCAGCAUGCCGCGGUGAAUACGUUCCCGGGCCUUGUACACACCGCCCGUCACACCAUGAGAGUUUGUAACACCCAAAGUCGGUGGGGUAACCUUUUAGGAACCAGCCGCCUAAGGUGGGACAGAUGA
rnacentral:rRNA from 1 species